GGGGAAACAAAAUCAGUUUAUACUGAAAUGAUAGAACACCUGAACUAUUCUUUCCACUACCUUGCAGAAAACUGCCCCAACUGCUAGCAAUGUACAAAAAACACUGUGUCAAUUCAUUUGACCUUUCCCACUUACAGAAAAUAACACAUAUGCUAAGAUUUUACAUAAGCCAUUUUGGGGUAGGCUACUAUACCAAAUGUUUGGUAAAGUAUGUGAUUAGCAAUAUAGGACUCAAACGUCACAAAACCUGAAAAAUUAUUAAAAUGCUACAUGCUAGUAUGCAACUCAUAUUCAAAAUUAAUCCAAGUAUGAAUUAUCCACACUGCACAUCUGGUGAUAAAAAUGUGUAUCUGCUAUCCACACAACUAGUGUUUUCUAUACAAACCACAAAUAUGCAUCAUAACUGAUGAAUGAUAACAAUUCAUUUAUUGUGUUCAUAGCACUUUUUUCUUUUCUGAUAAAUUAUCACAGCAGUCAAUGUUGUUAAGAAAGCUAUCAAAUGAAAGUUGUCCAGCAACCUUUAUCCCAAGCAGUGAGACAAAGACAGGAUAAAUAUCUGAGAAGAGAAGAAAAUAUUCAUGCCAUUGCUUGUUUUUGUUCAUAGUGUUGCCUGAAAACGUAUCUCCUAACACAUUCCAAGAUGGGCUUGGUGCUCACUGUAUUUAACCAGUUAUGCACACACAUAUAAUAUCAUAUUUCCCCCCCAACUGUCAGCUGCGGACUGGACUGUUGGCUGAUUAACUUUCUAGAGAAUAUCUGAUCUGACAUCAAAGAACAGUUGUUGCAAGAUGUAAAAGGAGGAACAGCAGCAUUUAUGAAAUACAUGUGGACUGGCAGUGAACCACAAAUAGGUAUAUGCAUUGCACAGAGGCAUGGGAACUGCUGUCAAUGAGGGGCUUCCCAUUCAAUGGUGCUGCCCCUCAUGUCUGUGGGCACAGCACACACAAGCUUCUGCAUACUGCCUCGCUUCUCUUAUUAUACGUAGACAGGCUCUCGCUCAUUUGCAAGCAAGCGUGUUAACAUAGCUAUCAGCAAACGUAAGGUCGAUGGUUACACUGUCUGUUCAGCUGCAGCAAACCAUAUCUUUAUCAAGUGGUCAUAAUCGAGUUGCUGCGUGGCUUUGUGUUGACUGGACAUGCAACAGGCCUGCCAGAGAUGGCUAGCGUUGGCUAAUGUCAACUAGCCAGCGACUCGUUGGCAUUAACAUGCCCUGGCACCACUAGUUGGUUGUGCCACAAUAUAGCCGGCUAACACCAGCGACCCAAGUAGGCAAAAGACGACGACGACAUGCCAGUACGGCAAAGUAUCAUGGUUGCACUUUUUUUUUUUAGCUAGCCAGGUAACUAUAGCAUUAGCUCGCAGUGAUAUUCUAACAUGGCCGACAGGAAAUGGCAGCAGAGAACAUUCCAGUGGAGCCGGCUCGUUUUCCUAAACUGGACACAAGCAUGCUGACAUGAAUAAGAUAAAGCUUUGACUACUGUUGAAGGGAGGCCCUGGAGCCAGAGCUCUGCGUCGUCAUGGUGAGCACUGUAGUGAUUCCCAGUCCCACUCUGGCUGGAGCCGCAUCCAUGUUGAUCCAGAACGACACCCAGGACAGGAUGACAGUGAGCAGGCUCGCACAAACUGAGGGAGCGUCAGAUCAUCAGCCACCUGCACCGCUCCCACAUCCAGCCAUUCAAAAAUAAGAUCAUUCAUGGUGUAGCCAACUAGAAGAGAGACAGAGAGAAGGUAUACGAGGAGGUCCUCCCGCUGCACGCCACAGUAUGUUACCUUUGAAGUUUGGUCUGAUGCGAGCGUCAUAACCAGAUGUGCGUCCCAUCAGCUUAUCCAGAAAGUCAGAUGGAGAGGGGGGCUUGGCUGCCCUGCUGGGG